rnacentral:rRNA from 1 species
AUUGAACGCUGGCGGCAGGCCUAACACAUGCAAGUCGAACGAGUGGCGGACGGGUGAGUAAUGUCUGGGAAACUGCCUUAUGGAGGGGGAUAACUACUGGAAACUGUAGCUAAUACCGCAUACCAUCGGAUGUGCCCAAGUGGGAUUAGUUAGUUGGUGGGGUAACGGCGCACCAAGGCGACGAUCUCUAGCUGGUCUGAGAGGAUGACCAGCCACACUGGAACUGAGACACGGCCCAGACGCCUACGGGAGGAAGCAGUGGGGAAUAUUGCACAAUGGGCGCAAGCCUGACGCAGCCAUGCCGCGUGAAUGAAGAAGGCCUUCGGGUUGUAAAGUACUUUCAGUGGGGAGGCGUUACCCGCAGAAGAAGCACCGGCUAACUCCGUGCCAGCAGCCGCGGUAAUUC